CCCGGGGAGGGAGCGCAGGAAAGAGCCCUGGGGCUACCGCGCAGAACCCGCGGAAGCCCUUGGGUCGGCCCCCCACCCCGCUGCGGGUGCCCUUGCUCCGGCCGCGCCUGUGUCCCGAACCUGGUGAGUCCUCCUCACCCAGGGUCUGUCCUCAGGACUGCGGGGUGCAGAGCGUAGGCCAGGGCCUUUCUGCUCUCACUCGUGUUCAUCCUAACUCCGGGAAACACCAAAAACCGAGAAAGAGGGUCGGGGAGAAGAAAGACGGAUUGCCUAAGCACAGUGGAAACAAGUAUGGAAAAACUUCCAAGAAACUUGUAGUUCCUAAAAACAUUUAAGAAAAAAAUGUUUUAAUCAAGAGAGACCCUGGGGUGCCCGCUGCAGAGGCAGCUAGCAGUGUACACACCUCCUGACCGCCUAAUGAAAUCGUGUAAAUAAUGAAGUGCACACAUUGCGUAAGAAACAGGAACUUUCCUGAUCCAAGGAGGUGGAGUUGUUACCUUUUCAAGAAAGGCACUGUUCCCUCCAUCUGGAUCCUAAAAUGAAGAAAACCCACCCACAGAUCAGAGCACAGGCAAGUGGAAGUCAACAUGUAAUGUGAGAAAUAAACCUUUGUUUUAUAUGCCACUGACAUUUGGGAGUCAUCUGUUACAGCAGCAAAGCCUACCAAAAGCUGACUGUUACAGGAGCCCACCAGGUAAAGAAGCUGCUUCUUGUCCUGUGACUGCUUCUUUCUGCACAUACACACUGAGAUCGUGUAGUUUAGAGUCACACUCAAGACAUAUGGCCCCUUGGCCUGGGACCCUGUAAAACAAGUCUCGGACUCGGAGUCCCACUUCACCGAUCUGCCACAGUUGGUGCUCCCAGUAAUGUGAGUAAUACAGGCUGUGUCUGCUCCUUGCAGUCCUCUUUGUGGUUUUUUCAGCUAAUCCAAAUGAGCAGUCAAGAUCCCCGGACUCGACCUCCUGCAUUAUGAUUUAAUAUCUUGAUGGAUUACAAAGUCUUCUGUCACUGGCUGGUGAUUUACUAACCAUCUAUUAUGUGUAAUGUGUGUAAUGUGAUUUCGCUCAAUUCACAAUAAUUUGACAAAAGGUAUAGUUUUAUAGAUGAAGCAACCGAAAUUUGGAAAAUUAAGUGCUUUGCCCAUGAUCACACAGCUGAAAAUGGGAAACUUAAACUUAGAACCAGGUCUACGCAGCUCUACAGCCAACGUUCAUUCCGUAACCCUUCCUCACCUCCAAGUCGGGUUUCAGCCACCAUUGUACCAACAAGCCCAUUACUUAUUCAUCCUUUAACAUUGGCAACCAACUCUCAAUGGGGUAUGAAUUAAGUGCCUAUUUAGCAAUCUAAGAUGCUACUGCUCAAAAAUAGAAAGCACACAAGAUGUUCUAUAUUAAAUGUUUCUAUUUCAUAAAGAGUUUGUGUAAUGAGGAGGAACCAGAGACACUAAUGAAAUACACAAAGCCAUCAACAUCUUUAACACUAAUGGAGAACAGCAUGUUUGCAUUACGAUCAGAACCCCAGUGAUUAGGUUUCACUAAGUAUUACUGUUAGCGUCAUUGCCAGUGAUGGAAGAGAAAGUCUAGCUUGGUGCGGAGUAACACUAUCCAAUAAACAAGACUAACCACACUAGUUUCAUCUGGGCCUUAAUUAUUUAAAAUGUGGUAACAUACAACGUCAUAGCUUGAUAUUCCCCAUCUCGACAAAAGAGAUAAUAGAGAAAUAGACUAAAACUCCAAUGGGAGACAUGGAAGCAAGACAAUAAUUAUCAAAUAUUAAGAAUUAUUUAAAGUAGUCUUCAAAAGUCUCAUGAAAAACCAAUUAAAUGCAUUAUCAAUAAGAUAAUAUGCUAUGUUGAAAGAAAAUAUAGUAUAAUGGUUUUGUUGUUUAAUUUUGAUCCUGAUCAAGUUACUGAACCUCAUUUCCUCCCAAUAAAAUGAGAACAAUAAUUGUAACAAACCAAAAGGAGUGUGGGAAGAUUAAAUAAGUUAAUAUAGAUAAUGUACUUCAACUAGAAAGCCAGUUCUACUAGAAUGCUUGUUUUGGACAUGCAAAUUUGUUCCCAUUCAGUCGAUAUGUUAGGAAAUACUCUGAGUGCAGACUUUCCUGUUUGCUUGUGCCACUCACGUCUGCGAGAAACACCAGAUGGACCCAGAAAAUGGUGCCCAUUUCAAAUGUCUUUCAUGGCUUUUUCGGACUGAAGAGAUCUGGAAGAUUCCUUAAUUUUAUUUUAUUUUUUUAAAGAUUUUAUUUAUUUAUUUUUAGAGAAAGGUGAAGGAGAGAAAAAGAGAGGGAAAGAAACAUCAAUGUGUGAGAGACACAUUGAUUGGUUGCCUCUUGC